GACGAACGCUGGCGGCGUGGAUUAGGCAUGCAAGUCGAACGGUAUCAUCCUUUCGGGGGUGAGAGAGUGGCGAACUGGUGAGUAACACGUAGGUUAUCUACCCUCAAGACGGGGACAACCCAGGGAAACUUGGGCUAAUACCGGAUGUGAGCAACUUUUAGUUGUUUGAAAGGUGGCGUAAGCUGUCGCUUGGGGAUGAGCCUGCGCCCUAUUAGUUAGUUGGUGAGGUAACGGCUCACCUAGGCAAUGAUAGGUAGGCGGCCUUAACGGGUGGUCGCCCACACUGGGAUUGAGAUACGGCCCAGACUCCUACGGGAGGCAGCAGUCGAGAAUAGUCUACAAUGGUCGGAAGACUGAUAGUGCGACGCCGCGUGAACGAUGAAUCCCUUCGGGGUGUAAAGUUCUUUUAUAUGUGAGCAGUGCUUCUUAUAUUAACAGUAUGGGGAAGAGAUAUUAGCAUAUGAAUAAGCAACGGCUAACUCCGUGCCAGCAGCCGCGGUAAA
rnacentral:rRNA from 1 species